rnacentral:rRNA from 1 species
CCUACGGGCGGCAGCAGUGGGGAAUAUUGCACAAUGGGGGAAACCCUGAUGCAGCGACGCCGCGUGAGUGAAGAAGGAUUUCGGUAUGUAAAGCUCUGUCAGCAGGGAAGAAAAGGACGGUACCUGACCAAGAAGCCCCGGCUAACUACGUGCCAGGAGCCGCGGUAAAACGUAGGGUGCAAGCGUUAUCCGGAUUUACUGGGUGGAAAGGGAGCGUAGGCGGCAGGGGAAGUCUGGAGGGAAAGGCGGGGGCUCAACCCCCGGACUGCUCUGGAAACUGCCAGGCUGGAGUGCAGGAGAGGUAAGUGGAAUUCCUAGUGUAGCGGUGAAAUGCGUAGAUAUUAGGAGGAACACCAGUGGCGAAGGCGGCUUACUGGACUGUAACUGACGCUGAGGCUCGAAAGCGUGGGGAGCAAACAGGAUUAGAUACCCCAGUAGUC